CCUACGGGCGGCAGCAGUCGAGAAUCAUUCACAAUGGGGGAAACCCUGAUGGUGCGACGCCGCGUGGGGGAAUGAAGGUCUUCGGAUUGUAAACCCCUGUCAUGUGGGAGCAAAUUAAAAAGAUAGUACCACAAGAGGAAGAGACGGCUAACUCUGUGCCAGCAGCCGCGGUAAUACAGAGGUCUCAAGCGUUGUUCGGAAUCACUGGGCGUAAGGCGUGCGUAGGCUGUUUCGUAAGUCGUGUGUGAAAGGCGCGGGCUCAACCCGAGGACGGCACAUGAUACUGCGAGACUAGAGUAAUGGAGGGGGAACCGGAAUUCUCGGUGUAGCAGUGAAAUGCGUAGAUAUCGAGAGGAACACUCGUGGCGAAGGCGGGUUCCUGGACAUUAACUGACGCUGAGGCACGAAGGCCAGGGGAGCGAAAGGGAUUAGAUACCCGUGUAGUC
rnacentral:rRNA from 1 species